GACGAACGCUGGCGGCGUGCUUAACACAUGCAAGUCGAACGGAAAGGCCCUGCUUGCAGGGUACUCGAGUGGCGAACGGGUGAGUAACACGUGGGUGAUCUGCCCUGCACUUCGGGAUAAGCCUGGGAAACUGGGUCUAAUACCGGAUAGGAGCCAUUUUUAGUGUGAUGGUUGGAAAGUUUUUUCGGUGUAGGAUGAGCUCGCGGCCUAUCAGCUUGUUGGUGGGGUAAUGGCCUACCAAGGCGGCGACGGGUAGCCGGCCUGAGAGGGUGGACGGCCACAGUGGGACUGAGAUAAGGCCCAGACUCCUACGGGAGGCAGCAGUGGGGAAUAUUGCACAAUGGGCGCAAGCCUGAUGCAGCGACGCCGCGGGGGGGAUGACGGCCUUCGGGUUGUAAACUCCUUUCGCUAGGGACGAAGCUUUUUGUGACGGUACCUAGAUAAGAAGCACCGGCUAACUACGUG
rnacentral:rRNA from 1 species